GACGGAGGAUGCAAGCGUUAUCCGGAAUGAUUGGGCGUAAAGCGUCCGCAGGUGGCUGUUCAAGUCUGCUGUCAAAGACCGGGGCUUAACUUCGGAAAGGCAGUGGAAACUGAACAGCUAGAGUAUGGUAGGGGCAGAGGGAAUUCCUGGUGUAGCGGUGAAAUGCGUAGAGAUCAGGAAGAAUAUCGGUGGCGAAGGCGCUCUGCUGGACCAUAACUGACACUCAGGGACGAAAGCUAGGGGAGCGAAUGGG
rnacentral:rRNA from 1 species